CAGCAGCCACGGUAAUACGAAGGGGGCUAGCGUUGCUCGGAAUCACUGGGCGUAAAGGGUGCGUAGGCGGGUCUUUAAGUCAGGGGUGAAAUCCUGGAGCCCAACUCCAGAACUGCCUUUGAUACUGAAGAUCUUGAGUUCGAGAGAGGUGAGUGGAACUGCGAGUGUAGAGGUGAAAUUCGUAGAUAUUCGCAAGAACACCAGUGGCGAAGGCGGCUCACUGGCCCGAUACUGACGCUGAGGCACGAAAGCGUGGGGAGCAAACAGGAUUAGAGACCCCCGUAGUCCCUGUCUCUUAUAC
rnacentral:rRNA from 1 species